rnacentral:rRNA from 1 species
GACGAACGCUGGCGGCGUGCUUAACACAUGCAAGUCGAACGAAGUGGCGAACGGGUGAGUAACGCGUAAUCAACCUGCCCUUCAGAGGGGGACAACAGUUGGAAACGACUGCUAAUACCGCAUACUGAAGGUGGGGAUUUCGUCUGAUUAGCUAGGUGGAGGGGUAACGGCCCACCCAGGCGAUGAUCAGUAGCCGGGCUGGGAGGUUGAACGGCCACAGUGGGACUGAGACACGGGCCAGACUCCUACGGGAGGCAGCCGUGGGGAAUCUUCCGCAAUGGACGAAAGUCUGACGGAGCAACGCCGCGUGAGUGAUGACGGCCUUCGGGUUGUAAAGCUCUGUUAAUCGGGACGCGGUACCGGAAUAGAAAGCCACGGCUAACUACGUGCCAGCAGCCGCGGUAAUUC